GAUGAACGCUGGCGGCGUGCCUAAUACAUGCAAGUCGAGCGAACGGACGAGAAGCUUGCUUCUCUGAUGUUAGCGGCGGACGGGUGAGUAACACGUGGAUAACCUACCUAUAAGACUGGGAUAACUUCGGGAAACCGGAGCUAAUACCGGAUGAUAUUUUGAACCGCAUGGUUCAAAAGUGAAAGACGGUCUUGCUGUCACUUAUAGAUGGAUCCGCGCUGCAUUAGCUAGUUGGUAAGGUAACGGCUUACCAAGGCAACGAUGCAUAGCCGACCUGAGAGGGUGAUCGGCCACACUGGAACUGAGACACGGUCCAGACUCCUACGGGAGGCAGCAGUAGGGAAUCUUCCGCAAUGGGCGAAAGCCUGACGGAGCAACGCCGCGUGAGUGAUGAAGGUCUUCGAAUCGUAAAACUCUGUUAUUAGGGAAGAACAUAUGUGUAAGUAACUGUGCACAUCUUGACGGUACCUAAUCAGAAAGCCACGGCUAACUACGUG
rnacentral:rRNA from 1 species